rnacentral:rRNA from 1 species
UACGGAGGGUGCGAGCGUUGUCCGGAAUCAUUGGGCGUAAAGGGCGCGUAGGUGGCCACUUCAAGCGUGCGGUGAAAGUCGGGGGCUCAACCCCUGAUCGGCCGUGCGAACUGGGGGGCUGGAGCACUGUAGAGGCAGGCGGAAUUCCGGGUGUAGCGGUGGAAGUGCGUAGAGAGUCCGGAAGAACACCGGUGGCGAAGGCGGCCUGCUGGGGCAGUUUUGCUGACACUGAGGCGCGACGAGCGUGGGGAGCAAACAGGG